rnacentral:rRNA from 1 species
GAUGAACGCUGGCGGCGUGCCUAAUACAUGCAAGUCGAGCGAACAGACGAGGAGCUUGCUCCUCUGACGUUAGCGGCGGACGGAUGAGUAACACGUGGAUAACCUACCUAUAAGACUGGGAUAACUUCGGGAAACCGGAGCUAAUACCGGAUAAUAUAUUGAACCGCAUGGUUCAAUAGUGAAAGACGGUUUUGCUGUCACUUAUAGAUGGAUCCGCGCCGCAUUAGCUAGUUGGUAAGGUAACGGCUUACCAAGGCAACGAUGCGUAGCCGACCUGAGAGGGUGAUCGGCCACACUGGAACUGAGACACGGUCCAGACUCCUACGGGAGGCAGCAGUAGGGAAUCUUCCGCAAUGGGCGAAAGCCUGAUGGAGCAACGCCGCGUGAGUGAUGAAGGUCUUCGGAUCGUAAAACUCUGUUAUUAGGGAAGAACAAAUGUGUAAGUAACUAUGCACGUCUUGACGGUACCUAAUCAGAAAGCCACGGCUAACUACGUG